rnacentral:lncRNA from 1 species
UGAUUGAGGCUGAAACUCCACCUGCGACUCCACAAACCUGCAGGAAUUUCCCCUCUUGCUGCCUUCGUGAAUUCUGUGCAAUUCUAGCUCUUGGGGGAUCCCUGGUGUUGGUGGGGAUGACAGAGAUGGGCUGUGGCUGCCGGUAAAACAAUGAAUUUACUGAAAAACUAAAUAAUUACAUAACGAAGCAACUAAAUAAUGAAUUUCCAGAAUAACUAAAUAAUUAAAUAAUUAGGUCAUUGAGUAAUUAAAUAAUUAAUUUACUGAAUUACUAAAUAAAUAACGAGUCAAUAACUAAAUAGCUAAAUAAAUAAAUAACUAGAUAAUUAAGUGCCUCUUGCAGAAGCAGCAGGCAAUUAAUUAUCUAGCUAAUUAAUGGUUUCAAUGAACUGCCCUCUCUGCCCUGAGCUGCAGGGCAAGGGCUACGGGAACAGCACAGGACCCCCAAAACUGAUGCACAGGGUUGUGCUACAACAUCCAUCACUCCGUGUCUGAUCCCACAAGGGCACUGUGGCCCCUGCACUCCUGCAGCUGGAACAUUCCCACGGGGCCAGAGGUGGAGCAAGACAAACAGCCUGAGCUGCUGGGGGAAGAGCCAACACAACAGCCACUGGGGAGAGCUGGGUUCUCAGUCCCAGAAGAAGGAAUCCCCCAUGGCAGGACAGAGAAGCACCAGGAUGUGGAGCUGGAAGGUGGUGGCCAAGACAGGCUCCAAACUGGAUGGCCAAAGGGGGGCAGAGGGGAACCACCACAGCCUGGGAGUGAGAGAAAAAAAUUGCUGCAGGUGCUUCCAAGAGAGGGAAAUCCAUGAAAUCUCAGUGGGCAGAUGCCAGGCAGGCUGAAAGCUUGGGCAAGAGACUGCCUCAGGGGAUCCAAACCAUCCUGAGACCCUUCCUCAAACACUUCCAGAGCAGGGGUCACCUCAGAGACCUCGGGGGACAAGGGAGGGUGUUGGCCAGAGGGGACACAUGGGGCAAAUGUAGCCUGGAAAGAACAUGUGAGUGAAUCCCAGCCCUUCUGGGUUUCCCCAGCACAAAGGACGUGGAGCUCCUGGAAUGAGC